UUCAGUCCGCGCAUGCGCAGAGCUGGGUUAGACCUCGUGCAAGCCAAGCCUCGUGCACUACACAGCGCGCCAUCAUUGUUGUCUGAGCUGUUGUGUUUAUUGUGGAUCAUUUGCAAGUAACAGGUGUGAGAUUGUGCUUUCAGUAACUUUCGUGGGUUCAAGAUGGAGCAAUUGAUUGAAGAAGUACGUACUCAUCCAGUGAUUUGGAACUUUACAUUAGAAGUCUACAGAGACGUGACAUCGAAGGAAAAAGCAUGGGAUGAAAUUGCCGAAUCAUUAUCAAAAGACAGUGUGACAGUAACGUUCGCACUGCUAUAAGACUCCAGCUACUGGAGAAGAAGAAAUUCUCUGAGAUAAUGCUGCAGCGAGGAAGAAAAUCAGGUCUUCGGGGCUACAUAAGGAUCGCCAAAAAUCAGUCUACAGACUGGGCGACACCCGAGUAAAGUUCCAAAGUAUCAUACACCACGAAAAUCUGAAAUUACACAGUUGUAAAAUGAACAUCAAUAAAAGUAAUGCUUGUUACGCA